GGAGCUGUGCCCGAAUGCCCAGGGACCACUUUGAUAGAGUGACUAAUAGAGGUUAAAAUCCUCUCAGCCCCUA
rnacentral:tRNA from 1 species